UGCAGCAUUUCAGAAUAGUCUUUAUGACCUGGCUAAUAUGGUGCCAACAUUAGCAAAAUUCUAUCAUGAAGCCACUGAAUCUUAUGAACAAGCUUGCACACGCCAUAUCAAUGUGAUUAUAUUCUAUCAAUUUGAGCAACUUUUUCAGUUUGUUCGAAGAAUCGAGGAUUGGAUGUACACAAUCCCGCCUGAAGAGGUUAGGUUAUAUAUUUUUUUUUUCAUCUAAGCUUCUCCUCAGUUACAGCAUUUAUUGUCGGCUCUCCUCUUAAGGAUAUCUUAAUUUUCCUUGUAUGAGGACAAUAUUGCUUGUUAAUUAGUUUCCUGCUUUGUUAUUAAGUUGAUGCAAAUUUGAACCACUACAUGACAUUAAAUUACCAAUACUGGAAUA